rnacentral:rRNA from 1 species
UUCUCUUGAGAGCGGCGGACGGGUGAGUAAUGCCUAGGAAUCUGCCUGGUAGUGGGGGAUAACGUUCGGAAACGGACGCUAAUACCGCAUACGUCCUACGGGAGAAAGCAGGGGACCUUCGGGCCUUGCGCUAUCAGAUGAGCCUAGGUCGGAUUAGCUAGUUGGUGAGGUAAUGGCUCACCAAGGCGACGAUCCGUAACUGGUCUGAGAGGAUGAUCAGUCACACUGGAACUGAGACACGGUCCAGACUCCUACGGGAGGCAGCAGUGGGGAAUAUUGGACAAUGGGCGAAAGCCUGAUCCAGCCAUGCCGCGUGUGUGAAGAAGGUCUUCGGAUUGUAAAGCACUUUAAGUUGGGAGGAAGGGCAGUUACCUAAUACGUAAUUGUUUUGACGUUACCGACAGAAUAAGCACCGGCUAACUCUGUGCCAGCAGCCGCGGUAAUACAGAGGGUGCAAGCGUUAAUCGGAAUUACUGGGCGUAAAGCGCGCGUAGGUGGUUAGUUAAGUUGGAUGUGAAAUCCCCGGGCUCAACCUGGGAACUGCAUUCAAAACUGACUGACUAGAGUAUGGUAGA